GUGCUCGCUUCAGCAGCACAUAUACUAAAAUUGGAACGAUACAGAGAUUAGCAUGGCCCCUGCAUAAGGGUGACAUGCAAAUUUGUGAAGUGUUCCAUAAAAAA